rnacentral:lncRNA from 1 species
AUCCCUCUCGGCAGGGCCGGGGAUGACGGAUGGGCGGUGAAUGAGCCAUCGCUGCCUCCCGGAGCUGCACACACACACACACACACACACACACACACACACACACACACACACACACACACCGAGGGAAUCGUCGCAGACCCGCAGAGCUCCGGGCCGUGCAGGGCUCCAGUCCCGUGUGAAAUGCCGUGUUCGUGCCCCCAGAGCGGCAGCACCGGGCUGGCCGGGCUGGUGUCACCCGCCGCAGGGACAGGCAGCUCCAGCUGGGGUGCCCGGCUCGGGCAGCAGUCCAGGUGUUCCCCAUCACUGUCUUUGGAACCUGAGAUGCCCCUGGUGUCACAGAGCACCUCCCACCUCCCCCUGCACUCUGCAGCAAGUGAGGGCUGUCCUGCUGCCCACCCUGGGGGGAUUUGGGACCUCAGGGCUUGGCUGCGUGGUCUCCUCCUUCCAGCUCCUUCCCAGUGGAACAAACACGGGAUCCUGAGGGGCCCCAGGACACGGAAUGCUGAGGGUGCAGCACUGCAGCUGUUACUGCUGAGCCAGAUGUUCCACAGAGCAUUCCUCUGCACCCUGUGGAAAGGCUCAGAGAUGGGCAUUGGACACUGGCUCUGCACAGGACCCAGCCAGCUGAACGAGACACGGGCCAGUGAGUAAAGGUCUCUUUUAUGAACCAAGGCCAUUCAUGCUUUGCCAAGGCCUUCCCUUGAGAUGCCUGAAUAAAUUCCCUGGAUUGACAGGGCCUGCA